rnacentral:rRNA from 1 species
AUUGAACGCUGGCGGCAGGCCUAACACAUGCGAGUCGAACGGUAACAGGAAGAAGCUUGCUUCUUUGCUGACGAGUGGCGGACGGGUGAGUAAUGUCUGGGAAACUGCCUGAUGGAGGGGGAUAACCACUGGAAACGGUAGCUAAUACCGCAUAACGUCGCAAGACCAAAGAGGGGGACCUUCGGGCCUCUUGCCAUCGGAUGUGCCCAGAUGGGAUUAGCUAGUAGGUGGGGUAACGGCUCACCUAGGCGACGAUCCCUAGCUGGUCUGAGAGGACGACCAGCCACACUGGAACUGAGACACGGUCCAGACUCCUACGGGAGGCAGCAGUGGGGAAUAUUGCACAAUGGGCGCAAGCCUGAUGCAGCCAUGCCGCGUGUAUGAAGAAGGCCUUCGGGUUGUAAAGUACUUUCAGCGGGGAGGAAGGGAGUAAAGUUAAUACCUUUGCUCAUUGACGUUACCCGCAGAAGAAGCACCGGCUAACUCCGUG